rnacentral:rRNA from 1 species
GAUGAACGCUGGCGGCGUGCCUAAUACAUGCCAGUCGAGCGAACAGACGAGGAGCUUGCUCCUCUGACGUUAGCGGCGGACGGGUGAGUAACACGUGGAUAACCUACCUAUAAGACUGGGAUAACUUCGGGAAACCGGAGCUAAUACCGGAUAAUAUAUUGAACCGCAUGGUUCAAUAGUGAAAGACGGUUUUGCUGUCACUUAUAGCUGGAUCCGCGCCGCAUUAGCUAGUUGGUAAGGUAACGGCUUACCAAGGCGACGAUGCGUAGCCGACCUGAGAGGGUGAUCGGCCACACUGGAACUGAGACACGGUCCAGACUCCUACGGGAGGCAGCAGUAGGGAAUCUUCCGCAAUGGGCGAAAGCCUGACGGAGCAACGCCGCGUGAGUGAUGAAGGUCUUCGGAUCGUAAAGCUCUGUUAUUAGGGAAGAACAAAUGUGUAAGUAACUAUGCACGUCUUGACGGUACCUAAUCAGAAAGCCACGGCUAACUACGUG